rnacentral:sRNA from 1 species
GUAGAGCGUUAACGAUUGAAGCGGCAUCCUUUUUUUCUUUUUUAAGAAAAAAAGAUAUAGCGGAAAGCGUGUUAAAAC